rnacentral:rRNA from 1 species
UACGAAGGGGGCUAGCGUUGCUCGGAAUCACUGGGCGUAAAGCGCACGUAGGCGGGUUGCUAAGUCAGGGGUGAAAUCCUGGAGCUCAACUCCAGAACUGCCCUUGAUACUGGCGGCCUUGAGUCCGGGAGAGGUGAGUGGAACUGCGAGUGUAGAGGUGAAAUUCGUAGAUAUUCGCAAGAACACCAGUGGCGAAGGCGGCUCACUGGCCCGGUUACUGACGCUGAGGUGCGAAAGCGUGGGGAGCAAACAGG